ensembl:lncRNA
UACUGAGAGCAAAUAAAAUAAAUGAAUGUCUCCUCUCCCGCCUCUGGAUAUUACAGCAAACACAGAGCACAUUGCUGUGGCCUCCAGCCAACCCCUGCAAUUCCCCGACACAAUAGAUCGGUUGUGGACAGCGGCAGCUAGUGAGGCACAGCGUGGAAGCUUUUAAUUCCUGCUUUUUAUCAUUUUAUCUCAUCACCUUGGCAUCAUCAAGGUAGCAUUUUGGUGACCCUGAGAGGGGAAAAAACUGCUGAGACAAUCACUCUGCUUCAGAAGACUUCAGAGACAGUUGUGGCCACUGGUCUCAUUGUGUCUGAGAACCUGAUGUGAUGUGACAUUGCAGAACGGAGCUGAUGAUCAAUCUCUCUGAUGACAACAAGGAAUCCUCUCAGGUUCAAGCUCUUAUCAGGGACUACAGAGGGCAGCAGCACUGCCAAGCGCUUGGGCAGCUGCUCCCUGCCACUGGACCAGGAGGCUGAUUUUCACCAGAAACACAGAUGGAAGAGACAAGAAACUCCCGAGCCCUCAUUGUCAUCUUGGGCAAAUAGGGUGAAUGACAAGAAGGAGAGAAUGAAUGGAUACAGUCAGACCCGCGUUUUGUGUGGAAGCAAAGAAGCACGAGGAAACUGUCUCAAGUUGUACUACGGAAGAUUUACAUUGGACAUUAGGAAGAAUUUCUUCAUAGUGGUCAAACAAUGGAAUGGGCUGUCCAAGGAAAUGAUGGGGUCCCCCUCCCCAGAGUUGUUUAUGAGAAAUGUGGAUGUGGCACGAAGGGACGUUGUUUAGUAAAAGGUCUCAGUAUAUCAGAUUGAUAGUUGGAUUUGGUGACCUUGAAGUUGUUUUCCAACCUAGAUGAUUCCCUGAUUCUGUGAUUCUGUUUAAAUGCUGAGGUUACACAUAAACAAGGCCCGGUGUCCCAGCUGGCUGGCAGCCUCUAUUUCAGGGGGAAGAGGCAAUGGGAUGGCUGGGGAAGGUGAAAUGUUGAAAAUGUGUGUUCUGAAAGCAGACUAGUAAUGAUCCUUGAGAAGAUAUUCAUUUGUGUCUAAUGUGGCUAAGGAAAAGAAGGAAGAAGAGAAACCUGAGCAAACAAAUACAUUGUGGACAGCCCAGCAGAACUGAGUUUUACAGCCAGCUCUGCUGCCCAGGAGCAUCACUUUCCUCAACUCAUUCCAGGACGCCUGCAGCACUCUGACCGCAGACUGACUUGUGACUGCUCAGCCCACCAGCAAGUCUGGGGGAGUGGAGAGGAGAUGAUGGGUCCUAUCUCCAGUCUGGCCAGAGGACACCUCAAGCAGUCUCAGGCUCUCUGAAGCCACAGGGCCACACCACAUCCUUCUUCCCAAAACUGCAAAUCCCAAGGGGGCUGAUAACUAGGAAAAUCCAGAGUAAAAUAUGUAGAAACUUCUUACAGAGCUUUCCCUUCAUCUGCAUUUGUAGAAGGAGUGACCAAACUCUCAAGGUUGCUAGCCUAAAGUUUGACAUCCAUUAACAAUAUACAUUUGUUUUCAACAUCUACAUAAACAGGAUCCUGUGUACCCCGUCUCCUUUAGAGAGAAAAAUAAAAAUAAACAAAUAUCAUGUGUGUAUCCAGGAACCUCACACAGAAUGCUUGCAAAAUUAUAUGUGCCCUCUGCCUGUAAAACUCUGCUGUGCUCAGGUGUUUGUAGCAUUUGGGCCUUUGUGAGAGAAAACAAGAGAAACUCAUUGACCUCAGUAUGUCUUGGGACAAAGAUUCCUGAAGAAUUAUUGUAUAGACAAGGGAAAGAAAUUCUUUAGGUUAUUAUAG